rnacentral:rRNA from 1 species
GAUGAACGCUGGCGGCGUGCCUAAUACAUGCAAGUAGAACGCUGAAGGAGGAGCUUGCUCUUCUGGAUGAGUUGCGAACGGGUGAGUAACGCGUAGGUAACCUGCCUGGUAGCGGGGGAUAACUAUUGGAAACGAUAGCUAAUACCGCAUGACAUCAGUUAUUGCAUGAUAACUGUUUAAAAGGGGCAACUGCUCCACUACCAGAUGGACCUGCGUUGUAUUAGCUAGUUGGUGAGGUAACGGCUCACCAAGGCGACGAUACAUAGCCGACCUGAGAGGGUGAUCGGCCACACUGUGACUGAGACACGGCCCAGACUCCUACGGGAGGCAGCAGAAGGGAAUCUUCGGCAAUGGACGGAAGACUGACCGAGCAACGCCGCGUGAGUGAAGAAGGUUUUCGGAUCGGAAAGCUCUGUUGUAAGAGAAGAACAAGUGUGAGAGUGGAAAGUUCACACUGUGACGGUAUCUUACCAGAAAGGGACGGCUAACUACGUG